GAUGAACGCUGGCGGCGUGCCUAAUACAUGCAAGUCGAACGCUGAAGCUUGGUGCUUGCACCGAGCGGAUGAGUUGCGAACGGGUGAGUAACGCGUAGGUAACCUGCCUCUUAGCGGGGGAUAACUAUUGGAAACGAUAGCUAAUACCGCAUAAAAGUCGAUAUCGCAUGAUAUUGAUUUGAAAGGUGCAAAUGCAUCACUAAGAGAUGGACCUGCGUUGUAUUAGCUAGUUGGUGAGGUAACGGCUCACCAAGGCGACGAUACAUAGCCGACCUGAGAGGGUGAUCGGCCACACUGGGACUGAGACACGGCCCAGACGCCUACGGGAGGCAGCAGUAGGGAAUCUUCGGCAAUGGGGGCAACCCUGACCGAGCAACGCCGCGUGAGUGAAGAAGGUUUUCGGAUCGUAAAGCUCUGUUGUAAGAGAAGAACGAGUGUGAGAGUGGAAAGUUCACACUGUGACGGUAACUUACCAGAAAGGGACGGCUAACUACGUG
rnacentral:rRNA from 1 species